UUGCAAAGAUUACUUAGACUAUUGUUCAAGAUAAUGAGUUUAGUUAAUCAUAUUACUAAAAACUCCCACUCAAAUUGACAUCCCCCUAGUCAUUAGAGUGACACAUGAUCCAAAUUCACCAACCCAAGUCCGAUCAUCACGUGAGAUGAGUUGGCUUCAAUGGUGAACAUAUCCAUGUUGAUCAUAUCUACUAUAUACUCAAGUUCGACCUUUCGGCCUCUUGUGUUCCGAGGCCAUGUCUGUACAUUCUAGGCUCGUCAAGUUUAACCCGAGUGUUCCGCGUGUGCAAAACUGUCUUGCACCAGUUG
rnacentral:lncRNA from 1 species